rnacentral:rRNA from 1 species
CGUGGGUGACGAAGGCUUUCGGGUCGUAAAACCCUGUCGGAGGGGACGAAUUGCCAUCUGACUAAUACGCAGAUGGAGUGACGGUACCCUUAGAGGAAGCACCGGCUAACUACGUGCCAGCAGCCGCGGUAAUACGUAGGGUGCAAGCGUUGUUCGGAAUUAUUGGGCGUAAAGCGCGUGUAGGUUGCUAGGUAAGUCGAUUGUAAAAGCCCUAGGCUCAACCAAGGAAGUGCAUUCGAAACUACCUAGCUAGAGGAUGGCAGAGGAAGGUGGAAUUCCAAGUGUAGAGGUGAAAUUCGUAGAUAUUUGGAGGAAUACCGGCGGCGAAGGCGGCCUUCUGGACCAUUCCUGACACUGAGACGCGAAAGCGUGGGGAGCAAACAGGAUUAGAUACCCUGGUAGUCCGCGCUGUAAACGAUGGGUACUAGAUGUUGCGGGAAUUGACCCCUGCAGUGUCGACGCUAACGCAUUAAGUACCCCGCCUGGGGAGUACGGCCGCAAGGUUA